GAAUUUUUCCGAAUCAGUUCGUAAUCCGUUUUCUUGAGAGUGUUAUUUCAACGUAUUUCUUUUGGGAUUUAAUGUAAUUAUACAAGAAUAAAAGAUAUUUUAAUAAGUGAAAGUGAAAUUGUGAGUGAUAUAAUGUAUAUCAACAUAUAAGAUGAACAAGUAUUUGGUAAAUCAUUUGAUAAAACGGUAAACGAAGUGGUAAUCGAGGUACGUGUUGAACCAAGAAACUGGGAAUCCAUUUUAAAAGUAUAAUUCUACACGGAGCAUCGGAUUAAACGAUCAGCAACUCUGCUAAUUCGUUAAUCAUAAAUAUUCAAGAGUCAAUUAACACGGAUACGAGGGUCGUGCACUCUCGCCGGAUCAAUUAAUUAUCGAUUUCCAUUACGCUUGCGUAAUGACCUAUUAACAACGCACGCUCGAGAUCCUCUGGGCCGAAACUUCGAUUUUAAUGUCAUGAUUCGUGAACCUACGACUUAUCCCGAAAUUAUGCUUUAUCGAUUUUGUGUUCAAUAUCAGAGAUUAAUAUCAGAAUUCUGAAAAUUGAUUUAUGGAUCAAUUAUACCGUACCUUUUGGAGAAAAAGAGAAUUACAACGAUACCCGUUCAAUUAUAUUAACAACAAUUCACUCACAUUGCAAACAUAACCUAAAUAUGUCAUCAUUAUCUUUCACCGAACUAGUACAUCUAACAAACAAACAACUUUGCAACUUUCGACAUAUGAAUAAUAUUGCGCCUCAUUUUUGGCAAAGAUGGAUUAUUAAAUGAUGCUUUAUAUUGCUGUUCAUCAAUCGAUUUUAAGAAGGCUAUCAAUAUCGAUGAUUAUUGAUAAUUCUUUUUAAUGAUUUGAUUACAGAACGUGAGUUAUUUUUGUCAUUAUAAUAUAUGAAGAUUUUUAAAGCAAGUCGACACUUGUUACGCAUCCUCCUAUCAUAUCGCCAUUGAAUAUCAACGUGGACGGGAAAUGUUGCAUCGUAUUAUGUCGUUGUCUAUCAAAUUAUGAUUCAGAUACAUAACAGAAUUGAUUUAUCGGUGUUUCGUCGUCAUAUCAGAGAAAUGACACGUUAUACAACUAAUAACAACAAAACGUAUCCAGCUGACGAUUUUUAUAAAAUAUAUAUGAAAACGUAAUUUAAAAAAUAAACAAAUAAUUGACCUGUUUCUUUAAUAAAUCAAUGCAAUGUAUCAAUGCAAUUACUGAGAAACGUUACACGAGGAUACAAGGGAUUAUUUGAUGAAUUUUUAUAUAUAAUAUAAUAACGAUUAAGAAUCGUGUUUUCAUUGAGUGGAUUCUCGAUUUUCGCAAUUCGGAAUGGAACGAGAUUCGAAGGUAUAUGAUUUUCGAGGUUCGUUGAACACGUGCACGCACGUAAUUCGAGCGUCUGACUGAGACGUGUAAUUUUCACGAUUGCAACGAGGAAACUGAUCCCUUUUUACUGCACACACUUGCUCCUCCCUGUGCUUGAUCAAGUGUAAUUACUGUGAAUAAUGCAGCAGGGUGUUAACAGUACGAAACCAGAGUUAUGAAUCUUGUUCGAUGUUGUGUAAUUUGCCGGCAAUUUGCUGAGAAUCCUCAUAUACACAACCAAUACGUUUUACGAAAGGAUUGGAGAUUUUUCACAAAGGGAAUUUUCCAAAGGGAUUACGGCGUGUAUUUGUCCCGCUUUCGGAUCGAAACUUAUUCCCCUGAUACGACGUUUUACGACGCUCUUAUGGUAUUAAGGUAAUAGCGAAAAAUUGCAGAUUCCAUCGCGCAAUUUUUUAUACCCGAAAUCUAAAUCUAAUAAUUAUCGACUGGGGAUUGUAAAGAAAUAAAUAUAUAAUAGAUAUUCA
rnacentral:lncRNA from 1 species